AUUGAACGCUGGCGGCAUGCCUUACACAUGCAAGUCGAACGGCAGCACGGGAGCAAUCCUGGUGGCGAGUGGCGAACGGGUGAGUAAUAUAUCGGAACGUGCCCAGUCGUGGGGAUAACGUAGCGAAAGCUACGCUAAUACCGCAUACGAUCUAUGGAUGAAAGCGGGGGAUCGCAAGACCUCGCGCGAUUGGAGCGGCCGAUAUCAGAUUAGGUAGUUGGUGAGGUAAAGGCUCACCAAGCCGACGAUCUGUAGCUGGUCUGAGAGGACGACCAGCCACACUGGGACUGAGACACGGCCCAGACUCCUACGGGAGGCAGCAGUGGGGAAUUUUGGGACAAUGGGCGCAAGCCUGAUCCAGCAAUGCCGCGUGCAGGAUGG
rnacentral:rRNA from 1 species